rnacentral:rRNA from 1 species
UACGGAGGGUGCGAGCGUUGUCCGGAAUCAUUGGGCGUAAAGGGCGCGUAGGUGGCCCCUCAAGCGGGCGGUGAAAGUCGGGGGCUCAACCCCCGAUCGGCCGUGCGAACUGGGGGGCUGGAGCACUGUAGAGGCAGGCGGAAUUCCGGGUGUAGCGGUGGAAUGCGUAGAGAUCGGGAGGAACACCAAAGGCGAAAGCACUCUGCUGGGCCGCAACUGACACUGAGAGACGAAAGCGAGGGGAGCAAAUGGG